UCUCCGUAGGUGAACCUGCGGAGGGAUCAUUACUGAGUGAGGGCUCCGGCCCGACCUCCAACCCCAUGUGAACCGAAACCUGUUGCUUCGGGGGCGACCCUGCCGUUCGGCGCGGCGCCCCCGGUGGUCCAUCUCAACCCUGCAUCUGUGCGUCUGAGUAAAUAUUUGAAUCAAUCAAAACUUUCAACAACGGAUCUCUUGGUUCUGGCAUCGAUGAAGAACGCAGC
rnacentral:misc_RNA from 1 species